rnacentral:rRNA from 1 species
GAUGAACGCUGGCGGCGUGCCUAAUACAUGCAAGUCGAGCGAACAGACGAGGAGCUCGCUCCUCUGAUGUUAGCGGCGGACGGGUGAGUAACACGUGGAUAACCUACCUAUAAGACUGGGAUAACUUCGGGAAACCGGAGCUAAUACCGGAUAACAUGGUGAACCGCAUGGUUCAACAGUGAAAGACGGUCUUGCUGUCACUUAUAGAUGGAUCCGCGCCGCAUUAGCUAGUUGGUAAGGUAACGGCUUACCAAGGCAACGAUGCGUAGCCGACCUGAGAGGGUGAUCGGCCACACUGGAACUGAGACACGGUCCAGACUCCUACGGGAGGCAGCAGUAGGGAAUCUUCCGCAAUGGGCGAAAGCCUGACGGAGCAACGCCGCGUGAGUGAAGAAGGUCUUCGGAUCGUAAAACUCUGUUAUUAGGGAAGAACAAAUGUGUAAGUAACUAUGCACGUCUUGACGGUACCUAAUCAGAAAGCCACGGCUAACUACGUG